GGCUGGUCUGGAGGUAGUGAGUGAGUGAUCUCAAUUGACUGUCCAGUCACAGAUUGAACUUGUUCUACUCUUUUCCCCCUUCACACUACUGCCCUUGACUAGUCUUAA
rnacentral:Y_RNA from 1 species